GGGGACGUAUUGGUUUCGACGGAUUGGUUUUGAGAGGGGAAAGCAUAUUGUAGGCUCGUCUACAUUAAAAACGGAAACUGCAAAUUUAAAUGCAAACAACAAUGAAAAAUUAGCAUUAGCUGCUUAGUUAACGCAGGUGCUAUGUCCAUAGGUUACUCCCACGAAACCUAAAUGGGCAACAUUAGUGGGCAACCAAAUGUAAUAUGUUUGUGGUUACAUUUGAGAUUUUAACAAAAUAGUCCAAAUUAACUUUGUUAAUGAAAUUAGUUUGGGCGAAUAACAAUCAUUAACUAAAUAUGUAGAAACACCUUGCAUGCCUUUUCGGACGUGGGUUCAACUCCCACCGUCUCCACCA
rnacentral:tmRNA from 1 species